UACGGAGGAUGCAAGCGUUAUCCGGAAUGAUUGGGCGUAAAGCGUCCGCAGGUGGCAUUACAAGUCUGCUGUCAAAGACUGGGGCUCAACCCUGGAAAGGCGGUGGAAACUGUAGAGCUAGAGUACGGUAGGGGCAGAGGGAAUUCCUGGUGUAGCGGUGAAAUGCGUAGAGUUCAGGAAGAACACCGGUGGCGAAAGCGCUCUGCUAGGCCUGUACUGACACUGAGGGACGAAAGCUAGGGGAGCGAAUGGG
rnacentral:rRNA from 1 species